GUGCCCUUUUAAGCUUGACACAGUAGUUCAAGAGGUCAACACAGAAGGGGAAAGGGACUAUCCAUAAAAUCUAGAGAAGAGACUGUACAUCUCCUCUUUGGUUCCUGUGUGGAGUCAUAACU
ensembl:snoRNA